rnacentral:rRNA from 1 species
UAAAGUCUGGCCUGCCCACUGAUUUAUUUUAAAGGGCCGCGGUAUACUGACCGUGCGAAGGUAGCAUAAUCAUUAGUCUUUUAAUUGAAGGCUUGUAUGAAUGGUUGGACAAAAAGCAAACUGUCUCAGUUGUAAUAAUUGAAUUUAACUUUUGAGUGAAAAGGCUUAAAUAAGUUAGGGGGACGAUAAGACCCUAUAAAGCUUGACAAUAAGCCGUUUAUAUUAUAAAUUGUUAGUAUAACUUGAUUUUAAAUGGUGUUUGUUGCGUUGGGGCGACGAGAAUAUAAAAGAUAACUGUUCUUAUAAUAUUUAAUAACAGAAAUAGCUGGAAAAUUAAUGAUCCUUUCUUUAAGAUCAUAAGAUUAAGUUACUUUAGGGAUAACAGCGUAAUCUUCCUUGAGAGUUCAUAUCGACAGGAAGGGUUGCGACCUCGAUGUUGAAUUAAGGUAUCCUUAUAAUGCAGCAGUUAUAAAGGAAGGUCUGUU